rnacentral:misc_RNA from 1 species
AUCAAAACUACAACAACACUCUACAAUCGUUCUGGCAAUUCAGCGACCAGCUACGUCUUCAGACAGCUAAUCUUGCCAAUUUGUCCACCAAUGAUUCAAUUUGGAGCAGCUCCUUUGUUUCCAAGAACCACAACAACUUCGAUGUUCGGGUCGGAGCCGAGCUCGGUUCUUCUAACUCUAACACCAAACUUGCCUCCGACCUUAAGACUUAUAAUAACGACGGUUGGAACGGUUUCAAGACGGGUGGGUCG